rnacentral:rRNA from 1 species
UACUACGGGAGGCAGCAGUGGGGAAUAUUGGACAAUGGGCGAAAGCCUGAUCCAGCCAUGCCGCGUGUGUGAAGAAGGUCUUCGGAUUGUAAAGCACUUUAAGUUGGGAGGAAGGGCAGUAAGUUAAUACCUUGCUGUUUUGACGUUACCGACAGAAUAAGCACCGGCUAACUUCGUGCCAGCAGCCGCGGUAAUACGAAGGGUGCAAGCGUUAAUCGGAAUUACUGGGCGUAAAGCGCGCGUAGGUGGUUCGUUAAGUUGGAUGUGAAAGCCCCGGGCUCAACCUGGGAACUGCAUCCAAAACUGGCGAGCUAGAGUAUGGCAGAGGGUGGUGGAAUUUCCUGUGUAGCGGUGAAAUGCGUAAAUAUAGGAAGGAAAACCAGUGGCGAAGGCGACCACCUGGGCUAAUACUGACACUGAAGUGCGAAAGCGUGGGGAGCAAACAGGAUUAGAUACCCCGGUAGUCCCCGCCGUAAACAAUGUCAACUAGCCGUUGGGAUCCCUU